UACGUAGGGGGCAAGCGUUGUCCGGAUUUAUUGGGCGUAAAGAGCGUGUAGGCGGCCAGGUAGGUCUGCUGUGAAAACUCGAGGCUUAACCUCGAGCUGUCGGCGGAAACCAUCUGGUUAGAGUCCGGAAGAGGAGAAUGGAAUUCCCGGUGUGGCGGUGAAAUGCGCAGAUAUCGGGAAGAACACCCGUGGCGAAGGCGGCUCACUGGCCCGAUACUGACGCUGAGGCACGAAAGCGUGGGGAGCAAACAGG
rnacentral:rRNA from 1 species